rnacentral:rRNA from 1 species
UUCGCAUGAAGCAGUGUGAAAAACUCCGGUGGUAUACGAUGGAUCCGCGUCUGAUUAGCUGGUUGGCGGGGUAACAGCCCACCAAGGCGACGAUCAGUAGCCGGCCUGAGAGGGUGAACGGCCACAUUGGGACUGAGACACGGCCCAAACUCCUACGGGAGGCAGCAGUGGGGAAUAUUGCACAAUGGGGGAAACCCUGAUGCAGCGACGCCGCGUGAGUGAAGAAGUAUUUCGGUAUGUAAAGCUCUAUCAGCAGGGAAGAAAAUGACGGUACCUGACUAAGAAGCCCCGGCUAACUAUGUGCCAGCAGCCGCGGUAAUACGUAGGGGGCAAGCGUUAUCCGGAUUUACUGGGUGUAAAGGGAGCGUAGACGGCAGCGCAAGUCUGAAGUGAAAUCCCAUGGCUUAACCAUGGAACUGCUUUGGAAACUGUGCAGCUGGAGUGCAGGAGAGGUAAGCGGAAUUCCUAGUGUAGCGGUGAAAUGCGUAGAUAUUAGGAGGAACACCAGUGGCGAAGGCGGCUUACUGGACUGUAACUGACGUUGAGGCUCGAAAGCGUGGGGAGCAAACAGGAUUAGAUACCCUGGUAGUCCACGCCGUAAACGAUGAUUACUAGGUGUUGGGGGACCAAGGUCCUUCGGUGCCGGCGCAAACGC